UACGAAGGGGGCUAGCGUUGCUCGGAAUUACUGGGUGUAAAGCGCACGUAGGCGGAUUGUUAAGUCGGGGGUGAAAUCCUGGAGCUCAACUCCAGAACUGCCUUCGAUACUGGCGAUCUCGAGUUCGGGAGAGGUGAGUGGAACUGCGAGUGUAGAGGUGAAAUUCGUAGAUAUUCGCAAGAACCCCAGUGGGGAAGGCGGCUCACGGGCCGGAUACGGACGCUGAGGUGCGAAGCGUGGGGAGCAAACAGG
rnacentral:rRNA from 1 species